CCCUUAGAUGUUCUGGGCUGCACGUGCGCUACACCGAUGCAUUCAACGAGCUUUCGAUCUUGCCCGAGAGGGUUGGAUAAUCUUUUUAAAGUGCAUCGUGAUGGGGAUAGAUUAUUGCAAUUAUUAAUCUUCAACGAGGAAUUCCUAGUAAGCGCGAGUCAUCAGCUCGUGCUGAUUACGUCCCUGCCCUUUGUACACACCGCCCGUCGCUCCUACCGAUUGAAUGCUCAGGUGAGCCAUUCGGACUUUCAUCAUGCUGGUUUCCAGUUUUGAUGAAGGAAAGUCUUGCGAACCUUAUCAUUUAGAGGAAGGAGAAGUCGUAGCA
rnacentral:rRNA from 1 species